rnacentral:rRNA from 1 species
GACGUAGGAGGCGAGCGUUAUCCGGAUUCACUGGGCGUAAAGCGCAUGUAGGCGGUUGUGUAAGUCCGAUGUUAAAGCCCCUGGCUCAACUGGGGGAGGUCAUUGGAGACUACUCGACUUGAGGGCAACAGAGGCACGUGGAACUCCCGGUGUAGCGGUGGAAUGCGUAGAGAUCGGGAAGAACACCAGUGGCGAAGACGGCUCACUGGCCCGGUACUGACGCUGAGGUGCGAAAGCGUGGGGAGCAAACAGG